UCUCUUGGAGCUCUAGCUCACCUCUCUGGUGUUGUUCUUGUAUUCAUCUGAUUAAUCUAGUUCUUGCCAAUUCUUCUUGAACUUCUUGUUAGAUCUCGAGCCUGUAUAUCUAUGUCCGUGAUAGUUUGUCGAGACUUCACCCACCUCAGAUAUCAGAGCUAGUUUCUUCCUCAUAAGAGUGCGGAUUAUCCCUCUCCUUGGAAGUGUACUAGCAUUUUAGAGGUUGCGGAUUACCCUCCUUUAAAUUGAUACUUC
rnacentral:lncRNA from 1 species